GGGCCAGCAGUCGACUGAAGCUGCAGACUAUUGUGAUUGCUGCUUAUUUGACAAGCUUUGCAGAGGAAAGGUAAAACUAAAGGAUCCAUCCUCAUGGCAGCCACAGAGCUCCUGUAGAGAGCAAUACCCCAUUCUAAGAUUCUCAUUCAAGGCAGAUGUACAAAUAAUGGUGUAACACUCGAAGAUGGAAUUUAUCUUUGGAACAGCAAUGGCCUUAACCCUGAUGAGCACAUCAUGGAGUAGUUCAGUAAUGGUGAAUAGUUCAACGACACAGACAUUACAAGGUUUAUUUCUUGCACAGAAUAUAAAUCCAGAUAUUUACGAAUUUCAAGAGUCCGGCUAGCCACAUCAGUCACCAAGGAAAGCUUUUAAAGUCGAUGGGGAAAGGGUAGAGAAUAGAACUGAUAUAAAAAUGAAAAAUGGUGGAAACACCGAGCCGGUCAGGCAGCAUGUGAAAAAAAUGAUACACCAGCUCCAGUUACAAUUACAACAAAGUGUAUGAACAUUCAAAGAAAAGAUAACCUGCAGUGGAACAGAGAAAGCAGCAAUUUGGAGAAUAGAGUGAAGCAGUCUAUAAAUUUACUGAGAUUGACUUCUUUAGAUCUGUUUCAGAGCCACCAGCUGGCACGAACACGGGGAAUGAAAACUCACAUUAUUUUGUAUUAAUGUGAUUUUUGACUGCAGCCCGAUUUUGAUUGGUGUUUUCGGGCCUUCGUUUCCGCUUCCCAAAAUGUCUGUGCCAAUCAUAAUG